UGGGGAAUAUUGGACAAUGGGGGCAACCCUGAUCCAGCAAUGCCGCGUGUGUGAUGAAGGCCUUAGGGUUGUAAAGCACUUUCACUGGUGAAGAUGAUGACGGUAACCAGAGAAGAAGCCCCGGCUAACUUCGUGCCAGCAGCCGCGGUAAUACGAAGGGGGCGAGCGUUGUUCGGAAUUACUGGGCGUAAAGGGCGCGUAGGCGGUCUUUUAAGUUAGGCGUGAAAGCCCCGGGCUCAACCUGGGAACUGCGCUUAAGACUGGAAGACUAGAAAACGGAAGAGGGUAGUGGAAUUCCCAGUGUAGAGGUGAAAUUCGUAGAUAUUGGGAAGAACACCAGUGGCGAAAGCGGCUACCUGGUCCGAUUUUGACGCUGAGGCGCGAAAGCGUGGGGAGCAAACAGGAUUAGAUACCCCGUAGU
rnacentral:rRNA from 1 species